GAAAUAAAAUGAAUAAAAGUAAGCUUCUAACUUAACUUUUUAGCGGUUUAACUCCGUUAUUAUUUCU
rnacentral:tRNA from 1 species